GGACAGAAAGACAAAGAUGUUAAUUUAUGCGGCUGCGGCACAAUGGUUUAUCAACAUGAUAACAUUGGUUGUUCAAUCCAGAAAAAGAAAAAGGAGAGAAGCAAUUACGUAUGCCCAAUUGAUGAGAGAGAUAGGAUGAGAAGAGAGUAUUUUGACAACAAAAUAUGGAAGAAUGACACAACUUGUGUGAACAUGCUUAGGCUUCGGAGAGUACUUUUCUUUAGGUUUUGUCAACUCUUUAGGGAUCGCAACUUGAUAAAGGACACGAUACAUUUGACUAUUGAGCAACAAGUAGCAAUGUUCUUGCACACCGUUGGGCAUAACAUUAGAAAUAGGGUAAUUGGUGCCAAUUUUGGUAGAUCCGGUGAAGUUGUGAGUCGUUACUUCCAAAGGGUACUCCAUGCCAUUGGCGAGCUUAGAGAUGACCUUAUUAGGAAGCCUUCAUUGGAGACCCAAACCAAAAUAGAAGGGAACUGCCGGUGGGAUCCAUAUUUAAGGUAU
rnacentral:rRNA from 1 species